rnacentral:rRNA from 1 species
GUCUGUGGCCAUACCACCCUGAAUGCGCUCUAUCUCAUCUGAUCUUGAAAGCUUAAGCAGGGUCGGGCCUGGUUGGUACUUGGAUGGGAGAAGUGUCAUCCAUGUUGUAAACG